AGAGUUUGAUCCUGGCUCAGGAUGAACGCUGGCGGCGUGUCUAAGGCAUGCAAGUCGAACGAUUUUGAUUUAUCAAAAGAGUGGCAAACGGGUGAGUAACAUAUUGGUAACCUACCUUGAAGUGGGGCAUAACCCCGAGAAAUCGGAGCUAAUUCCCCAUGUGCUUUUCAGUCGUAUGAUUGAAACGUAAAGAUUUAUCGCUUCAAGAGGGGCCUAUACCCCAUCAGCUUGUUGGUAGUGUAAUGGACUACCAAGGCUACGACGGGUAGCGGGUGUGAGAGCAUGACCCGCCUCAAUGGGACUGAGACACUGCCCAUACUCCUACGGGAGGCUGCAGUCAAGAAUCUUCCGCAAUGCGCGAAAGCGUGACGGAGCGACGCCGCGUGAUCGAAGAAGCCCUUCGGGGUGUAAAGAUCUUUUAUCAGGGAAGAACGAUGACGGUACCUGAUGAAUAAGGGGCUGCUAAACUCGUGCCAGCAGCAGCGGUAAUACGAGUGCCCCGAGCGUUAUCCGGAUUUAUUGGGCGUAAAGCGUCUCUAGGCGGUUUAAUAAGUCACUAGUCAAAUCUUCCUGCUCAACGGGAAGACUGCUAGCGAAACUAUUAGACUAGAGAAUGGGAGAGGUCAGCGGAAUGGCUGGUGUAGCAGUAAAAUGCGUUAAUAUCAGUUGGAACACCAAAGGCGAAGGCAGCUGACUGGAACAUUUCUGACGCUCACAGACGAAAGCGUGGGUAGCGAAUGGGAUUAGAUACCCCAGUAGUCCACGCCGUAAACGAUGGAUGCUAAAUGUUGGCAGUAUCGACCCUGCCAGUGUUGUAUACCUAAGGUAACCCCUUAAGCAUCCCGCCUGUGGAGUACGGUCGCAAGACUAAAACACAAAGGAAUUGACGGGGAUCCGCACAAGCGGUGGAGCAUGUGGUUUAAUUCGACAAUAAGCGAGGAACCUUACCUAGACUUGACAUUUAAUUGCACGUCCAGGGAAACCUGGAUUCUUUCGAAGGUAUUAAACAGGUGCUGCAUGGUUGUCGUCAGCUCGUGUCGUGAGACGUAUGGUUAAGUCCCUUAACGAGCGCAACCCCUGUCCUGUGUUAACAAUUUCACAGGAGACUGUCACGGAUAACGUGGAGGAAGGUGGGGACGACGUCAAAUCAGCAUGGCUCUUACGUCUAGGGCUACACACGUGCUACAAUUGCCGGUACAAAGAGCCGCGAAAUCGUAAGAUGGAGCUAAUCUCAUCAAAACCGGUCUCAGUUCGGAUAGAGGUCUGCAACUCGACCUCUUGAAGUUGGAAUCGCUAGUAACCGUGAAUCAGCCUCGUCACGGUGAAUACGUUCUCGGAUCUUGUACACACCGCCCGUCAAGGCAAGGAAGCCGGCGGCACCCGAAUGUCCAAUUUAUUUGGGCAGAAGGUGAAGUUGGUGACAGGGCUUAAGUCGUAACAAGGUA
rnacentral:rRNA from 1 species